ensembl:miRNA
GCGCAGGGCAGCCACUGCCCACCGCACACUGCGCUGCUCCGGACCCACUGUGCGUGUGACAGCGGCUGAUCUGUCC